UCAUCUCCACCCCUGUGCCCUUCAUCAGAUGGGAACAAUUCCCUUUGUCACCCUCCCUGUGCCCUCAACCAUUGGGAACAAUUCCCUGUGCCCUCCAUCCCUGUGCCUCCGUCCCAUGGGAACAAUUCCCUGUGCUCUCCAUCCCUGGGCCUCCAUCCAAUGGGAACAAUUCCCUUUGUCACCCUUCCCUCCAUCCAAUGGGAACAAUUCCCUGUGCCCUCAUCUGAUGGUCCCUUUGUCACCAUCCCUGUGCCCUCCAUUCCUGUGUCCUCAUCUGAUGGGAACAAUUCCCUUUGUCACCAUCCCUGUGCCUCCAUCCAAUGGGAAAAAUUCCCUUUGUCACCCUUCCCUCCAUCCAACAGGAACAAUUCCCUGUGCCCUUCAUCCCUGUGCCCUCCAUCCCAUGGGAACAAUUCCCUUUGUCACCCUCCCUGUGCUCUCAAGCAUUGGGAACAAUUCCCUUCAUCUCCAUCCCUGUGCCCUCAUCUGAUGGGAACAAUUCCCUGUGCCCUUCAUCCGACAGGAACAAUUCCUUCUUCUUCACCUCCAUCCCCGUUCAUUUCACCUGAUGGAAUAAUCCCCUUUGUCACCAUCCCUGUUCCCUCCAUUUUGUGGGAACAAUUCCUUCUCCUUUUCCCCCAUCCCUGCAUCCUCCAUCCCAUGGGAACAGUUCCUUUUGUCUCCAAAACUGUCCCCUCCAUCCCAUGGGAACAAUCCCCCUUGUCCCCAAACCUGUUCCCUCAAUCCAACGGGAAUAAUCCCCUUUGUCACCAUCCCUGUCCCCUCCAUCCCAUGGGAACAAUCCCCCUUGUCCCCAAACCUGUUCCCUCAAUCCAACGGGAGCAAUCCCCUUCGUCCCCAUCCCUGUCCCCUCAAUCCCAUGGGAACAUUUCCCUCUCCUUUUCCCCCCUCCAUCCCAUGGGAACACCCACGGAAGAUCCCAGCCCAUCUCAGCCAUGUCCUGAUCCCAAAUCCCGGCCGUGCCCGCGCUGCCCCUCCCAGUGAUCCCGGUGAUCCCGAUGAUCCCAGUGAGCCCGGUGAGUGAUCCCAGUGAUCCCGGUGAGUGAUCCCGGUGAUCCCGGACCCCGUGGCAGAGCGAGGAGCGAGCCGGGAUCUGUUCCUUGGCACAGAAAAUUCCCGAGCUCUUCCCUGCCGGCGCCGGCGUCUGGCUCAGGUGCCGAGGGCUUGCAUGGAAAUGUCAGCUGCGAUUCGGGGCCGCCGAGGCUGACGGCCGAGAGAGCAGCCGAGGUGACAGCUCCGCCGGGGGACGGCCGCG
rnacentral:lncRNA from 1 species